AACGAACGCUGGCGGCGUGCUUAACACAUGCAAGUCGAACGCGAAAGGGACUUCGGUCCUGAGUAGAGUGGCGCACGGGUGAGUAACGCGUAGAUAACCUGUCCUUGUGUCUGGAAUAAUACGUCGAAAGGUGUACUAAUACCGGAUACUCUUGCUUUAUAUAAGUUUUGCAAGCAAAGGUGGCCUCUGACAUAAGCUACUGCAUAAGGAGGGGUCUGCGUACCAUUAGCUAGUAGGUGGGGUAAAGGCCUACCUAGGCGACGAUGGUUAGCGGGUCUGAGAGGAUGAUCCGCCACACUGGCACUGGAACACGGGCCAGACUCCUACGGGAGGCAGCAGUGAGGAAUAUUGCGCAAUGGGGGCAACCCUGACGCAGCGACGCCGCGUGAGUGAGGAAGGCCUUCGGGUCGUAAAGCUCUGUCAAAGGGAAAGAAGUGCAUGGAGGUUAAUACCCUUCAUGUUUGACGGUACCCUUAAAGGAAGCACCGGCUAACUCCGUGCCAGCAGCCGCAGUAACA
rnacentral:rRNA from 1 species